rnacentral:rRNA from 1 species
AGUUUGAUUAUGGCUCAGGACGAACGCUGGCGGCGUUGCUUAACACAUGCAAGUCGAACGAUGAAGCGGUGCUUUGCACCGUGGAUUAGUGGCGAACGGGUGAGUAAUACGUGAGUGACCUACCUUUGACUCUGGGAUAAGCCUGGGAAACUGGGUCUAAUACCGGAUACGACCAAUCCUCUGCAUGGGGUGUUGGUGGAAAGCGUUAUGGAGUGGUUUUAGAUGGGCUCACGGCCUAUCAGCUUGUUGGUGAGGUAAUGGCUUACCAAGGCGACGACGGGUAGCCGGCCUGAGAGGGUGACCGGCCACACUGGGACUGAGACACGGCCCAGACUCCUACGGGAGGCAGCAGUGGGGAAUAUUGCACAAUGGGCGCAAGCCUGAUGCAGCGACGCCGCGUGAGGGAUGACGGCCUUCGGGUUGUAAACCUCUGUUAGCAUCGAAGAAGCGAAAGUGACGGUAGGUGCAGAGAAAGCGCCGGCUAACUACGUGCCAGCAGCCGCGGUAAUACGUAGGGCGCGAGCGUUGUCCGGAAUUAUUGGGCGUAAAGAGCUUGUAGGCGGUUGGUCGCGUCUGCUGUGAAAGGCCGGGGCUUAACUCCGGUUUUGCAGUGGGUACGGGCUAACUAGAGUGCAGUAGGGGAGACUGGAAUUCCUGGUGUAGCGGUGGAAUGCACAGAUAUCAGGAGGAACACCGAUGGCGAAGGCAGGUCUCUGGGCUGUAACUGACGCUGAGAAGCGAAAGCAUGGGGAGCGAACAGGAUUAGAUACCCUGGUAGUCCAUGCCGUAAACGUUGGGCACUAGGUGUGGGGGACAUUCCACGUUUUCCGCGCCGUAGCUAACGCAUUAAGUGCCCCGCCUGGGGAGUACGGCCGCAAGGCUAAAACUCAAAGGAAUUGACGGGGGCCCGCACAAGCGGCGGAGCAUGCGGAUUAAUUCGAUGCAACGCGAAGAACCUUACCAAGGCUUGACAUGCAUUAGAUCGCGCCAGAGAUGGCGUUUCCCUUCGGGGCUGGUGUACAGGUGGUGCAUGGUUGUCGUCAGCUCGUGUCGUGAGAUGUUGGGUUAAGUCCCGCAACGAGCGCAACCCUCGUUCUAUGUUGCCAGCGGUUCGGCCGGGGACUCAUAGGAGACUGCCGGGGUCAACUCGGAGGAAGGUGGGGAUGACGUCAAAUCAUCAUGCCCCUUAUGUCUUGGGCUUCACGCAUGCUACAAUGGCCGGUACAGAGGGUUGCGAUACUGUGAGGUGGAGCUAAUCCCUUAAAGCCGGUCUCAGUUCGGAUUGGGGUCUGCAACUCGACCCCAUGAAGUCGGAGUCGCUAGUAAUCGCAGAAUCAGCAACGCUGCGGUGAAUACGUUCCCGGGCCUUGUACACACCGCCCGUC